GACGAACGCUGGCGGCGUGCUUAACACAUGCAAGUCGAACGGUAAGGCCCUGCUUUUGUGGGGUGCUCUAGUGGCGAACGGGUGAGUAACACGUGAGUAACCUGCCCUUGCCUUUGGGAUAACUUCAGGAAACUGGGGCUAAUACCGGAUAGGAGCUCCUGCUGCAUGGUGGGGGUUGGAAAGUUUAGGCGGUUGGGGAUGGACUCGCGGCUUAUCAGCUUGUUGGUGUGGUAGUGGCUUACCAAGGCUUUGACGGGUAGCCGGCCUGAGAGGGUGAGCGGCCACACUGGGACUGAGCUACGGCCCAGACUCCUACGGGAGGCAGCAGAGGGGAAGAUUGUACAAGGGGCGGAAGGCUGAUGUAGCCACGCCGCGCGGGGGAUGACGGCCAUCGGGUUGUAAUCCGCAUCCGCCUGUGACGAAGCGUGAGUGACGGUAAUGGGUAAAUAAGCACCGGCUAACUACGUG
rnacentral:rRNA from 1 species